rnacentral:misc_RNA from 1 species
GAUGAAGAACGCAGCGAAAUGCGAUAAGUAAUGUGAAUUGCAGAAUUCAGUGAAUCAUCGAAUCUUUGAACGCACAUUGCGCCCGCCAGUAUUCUGGCGGGCAUGCCUGUUCGAGCGUCAUUACAACCCUCAGGCCCCCGGGCCUGGCGUUGGGGAUCGGCGGAAGCCCCCUGCGGGCACAACGCCGUCCCCCAAAUACAGUGGCGGUCCCGCCGCAGCUUCCAUUGCGUAGUAGCUAACACCUCGCAACUGGAGAGCGGCGCGGCCACGCCGUAAAACACCCAACUUCUGAAUGUUGACCUCGAAUCAGGUAGGCAUACCCGCUGAACUUAAGCAUAUCAAUAAGCGGAGGA